GAUGUCGAGAAUCCCCGGGAUUUGGCCGAGUGUCCAUAUAAUGAGAAGACAUACCGCGAAGACCAACGCAUAGAUGGAACUUAUUUUGAGUGCAAGAAAUGCGUCUGCAAAGAGGGAUUUGACGGAACCUUGGAUGGACCUUGGUGCAAGAGACAGACGUGUGAGUACUCCCUGGCUCACAGGGCUUCUGAACUAAGGGGAUGUGCGCCGGUAUUCCGUGAGGGCGAUAACUGUUGUGCUUCCAGAUUUCACUGUCCUUCAACCGAUGACAGCGUGGUGAGACAUUCGGAGACUACAACAGAGAAUGAAGGUGGUCAGUGCUCUUUCGGAGACCACAGACUGAACACUGGCGAUGAGCUUCUGGUCGGCAUCGACGGCUGCGUCAAAUGCAGAUGCGACGUUCCUCCAUUCAUAACUUGUACGCACAGAGCAGAUCCUGCAUGCGAGUGAUGUAAAUGAGAUCAUGCAUUACAUACAAAUUUCAGAGGGA